CCUACGGGGGGCAGCAGUGGGGAAUUUUGGACAAUGGGCGCAAGCCUGAUCCAGCUAUUCCGCGUGUGGGAAGACGGCCUUCGGGUUGUAAACCACUUUUGUAGAGAACGAAAAGUCUGUUGAUAAUACCGAUAGAUGAUGACGGUACUCUAAGAAUAAGCACCGGCUAACUACGUGCCAGCAGCCGCGGUAAUACGUAGGGUGCGAGCGUUAAUCGGAAUUACUGGGCGUAAGGGGUGUGCAGGCGGUGUUGCAAGAUGGAUGUGAAAGCCCCGGGCUUAACCUGGGAAAGCCAUACAUGACUGCAAGACUAGAGUGCGUCAGAGGGGGGUGGAAUUCCAAGUGUAGCAGUGAAAUGCGUAGAUAUUUGGAAGAACACCGAUGGCGAAGGCAGCCCCCUGGGACGCAACUGACGCUCAUACACGAAAGCGUGGGGAGCAAACAGGAUUAGAUACCCUUGUAGUC
rnacentral:rRNA from 1 species